UACGAAGGGGGCUAGCGUUGCUCGGAAUUACUGGGCGUAAAGCGUGUGUAGGCGGCUUUGUAAGUCGGAUGUGAAAGCCCCGGGCUCAACCCGGGAAGUGCACUCGAUACUGCGAAGCUUGAGUACUGGAGAGGUUGGUGGAAUUCUCGGUGUAGAGGUGAAAUUCGUAGAUAUUCGCAAGAACACCAGUGGCGAAGGCGGCUCACUGGCCCGAUACUGACGCUGAGGCACGAAAGCGUGGGGAGCAAACAGGG
rnacentral:rRNA from 1 species